GCCUACGGGAGGCAGCAGUCGGGAAUUUUGGGCAAUGGGCGAAAGCCUGACCCAGCAACGCCGCGUGAAGGAUGAAGUAUUUCGGUAUGUAAACUUCGUAAGAAUGGGAAGAACAAAUGACGGUACCAUUUGUAAGCCCCGGCUAACUACGUGCCAGCAGCCGCGGUAAUACGUAGGGGGCAAGCGUUGUUCGGAUUUACUGGGCGUAAAGGGCGCGUAGGCGGCGUGACAAGUCACUUGUGAAAUCUCCGGGCUUAACUCGGAACGGCCAAGUGAUACUGUUGUGCUAGAGUGCAGAAAGGGCAAUCGGAAUUCUUGGUGUAGCGGUGAAAUGCGUAGAUAUCAAGAGGAACACCUGAGGCGAAGGCGGGUUGCUAGGCUGACACUGACGCUGAGGCGCGAAAGCCAGGGGAGCAAACGGGAUUAGAUACCCUCGU
rnacentral:rRNA from 1 species